GGUGGUUCUCAUGCGACGCACCCUGGAAUCGGGCUCCUUCUCUCUGGUUCUGGGGUGCAUCACCUGAGAACUGUC
rfam:Myotis davidii contig33485, whole genome shotgun sequence.